rnacentral:rRNA from 1 species
GGGCAAGCGGCAGCUUGAUCUGGGCGUCGAACGAUGAAGCCCGGUUGAGGGUGGAUUAGUGGCGAACGGGUGAGUAACACGUGAGUAACCUGCCCUUGACUCUGGGAUAAGCCUGGGAAACUGGGUCUAAUACCGGAUAUGACCUUCCAUCGCAUGGUGGUUGGUGGAAAGCUUUUGUGGUUUUGGAUGGACUCGCGGCCUAUCAGCUUGUUGGUGAGGUAAUGGCUUACCAAGGCGACGACGGGUAGCCGGCCUGAGAGGGUGACCGGCCACACUGGGACUGAGACACGGCCCAGACUCCUACGGGAGGCAGCAGUGGGGAAUAUUGCACAAUGGGCGCAAGCCUGAUGCAGCGACGCCGCGUGAGGGAUGACGGCCUUCGGGUUGUAAACCUCUUUCAGUAGGGAAGAAGCCGCAAGGUGACGGUACUGCAGAAGAAGCGCCGGGCUAACUACGUGCCAGCAGCCGCGGUAAUACGUAGGGCGCAAGCGUUAUCCGGGAAUUAUUGGGCGUAAAGAGCUCGUAGGCGGUUUGUCGCGUCUGCCGUGAAAGUCCGGGGCUCAACUCCGGAUCUGCGGUGGGUACGGGCAGACUAGAGUGAUGUAGGGGAGACUGGAAUUCCUGGUGUAGCGGUGAAAUGCGCAGAUAUCAGGAGGAACACCGAUGGCGAAGGCAGGUCUCUGGGCAUUAACUGACGCUGAGGAGCGAAAGCAUGGGGAGCGAACAGGAUUAGAUACCCUGGUAGUCCAUGCCGUAAACGUUGGGCACUAGGUGUGGGGGACAUUCCACGUUUUCCGCGCCGUAGCUAACGCAUUAAGUGCCCCGCCUGGGGAGUACGGCCGCAAGGCUAAAACUCAAAGGAAUUGACGGGGGCCCGCACAAGCGGCGGAGCAUGCGGAUUAAUUCGAUGCAACGCGAAGAACCUUACCAAGGCUUGACAUGAACCGGACCGCUGCAGAAAUGUGGUUUCCCCUUUGGGGCUGGUUUACAGGUGGUGCAUGGUUGUCGUCAGCUCGUGUCGUGAGAUGUUGGGUUAAGUCCCGCAACGAGCGCAACCCUCGUUCUAUGUUGCCAGCACGUGAUGGUGGGGACUCAUAGGAGACUGCCGGGGUCAACUCGGAGGAAGGUGGGGACGACGUCAAAUCAUCAUGCCCCUUAUGUCUUGGGCUUCACGCAUGCUACAAUGGCCGGUACAAAGGGUUGCGAUACUGUGAGGUGGAGCUAAUCCCAAAAAGCCGGUCUCAGUUCGGAUUGGGGUCUGCAACUCGACCCCAUGAAGUCGGAGUCGCUAGUAAUCGCAGAUCAGCAACGCUGCGGUGAAUACGUUCCCGGGCCUUGUACACAUCGCCCGUCAAGUCACGAAAGAAGUAACACCCAAAUUA